AGUUGGUUCGUGACGAGCUCGGCCUCUCCUCUUGACACGGAACAAAAGCUCGACCGGAUCGACUCGAUUCACAGAGAAAAUUCGGUUUGGUUUGCAAGACGGUCGAUCGUGUAGAGGUUGUUUUCAUUUUCCAAGGCUAGGGAUUCGUCUGUAACGCGAUGAUAAUACCGCGUUCUUUCGACGACGAGGGCUAGCCUUGCCCUUGAAACGGCAGCCGGAGUUUGGAGUGGCCGGUACACAGCGUAACGCGCACGACGACGUUCUACCAGCUGUGCGCCGGAAUCGCGGCCCGCGUGUGUGUUGUGUUCGACGUUUUUCUCUUGUUUGCUUUUCUGCGUGCGUCUUCCUUUACCCUUUCUUCUAUCGUUCGCGUUGUCCGUGAUUCGUGACAAAAGAAGACUGUUUUUCCUGUUUCCCUUACUUUACGCAUUACUCUUGUUCGGUUUUGUUUGGUGCUUAUUAGUGAGAAUCCACCGGGACGAUAGGAACAAAGGGUCGGAGCCAGCGGCUGUGAAAGAGCAACAGAGACAGGCAGAGUGGGAGAGAAAUAUCGCGGUGUAUCGAUCGAGAGUGGAGCUUGCAGUUGACUGAAUUUCGUGGUACUAGCGAAGCCAACGAUUUUUUAUCGAACCAUGUGGAAUGUGUCUCGCGAAAUGGGGGAGAACUAAAUUCUGCAAACCAGGUGGCAAAAUCCAGAGGGAAUUGGAGCGCGCAACGCGGGACCAGUUGGACACAGAGAUAGAUCGAAAGAGGAGAGGGGAGGAGAGGAUAUUCACCACUCGUCGGGAGUUCUAGUUUGAUUGGCAGGUGAC